UACCUUAUGACGUGGCUGUAUGAAAAACCUGCCUCAAUUCUUUAAACUUCUUUACAAUAUUGUAUCUAGAUAUUCCAUUGGGAUUAAUAGCAAUGAAAAUACACAACAUGUCAUCAAGUAUUUAAUCUGGCUCACACCUUGAAGUUCUAGUUUUAGUGAGUGGAUUCCAAAGCACCGACGCCUCUCAGGACUGCCAAUCAUCAACCAGCAGUCCAGCUGGAGAGCAUUCCUCCCCGAACACAAACAGCAGAGCCCCUGACUCACAGCGCUGUGUCGGGGGGAGGGCAAACCUAACGGUUGACAUCACUGGCCUGUGAUGUCAUGGUGAUGUCAGUGCCUCUAAUUGUAAAUUGCACACUUAGUCGGCUGUGGCAACAUUUCAGUCAGAGAGAAGACUCUGAAGGGGACGCUUUCUCUUGGAAAAGCCUGGGGGUAGACACAGCAAGGCUGUUACUGGGGAGGAGACAAAAACCGGCAACUCGGGUAACUUGAUUGCCUACAAGCUGUGUAACACCAGCUCCACCCUCCCUCAGGAGGUGGCGAAGGCCGACGCUCACAGCUCGCUGGUAUCAGUGGAAGCCUCCCUAAAGAGGGAGCAGCGCUUGAUGAAGAACAGGGAAGCCGUCCGGGAGUCCCGGGUAAAGAAGAAGGAAUACAUCAAAUGCCUCGAAGAUCGCAUGUACUUGUUAGAAAAUAUCAACAAGACUCUGACUCGGGAGAUCAAAGCCUUAAAAGACACACACGCACAAAACACUCCUUGUCCUUGCUGUAAAUAAUGUGUUUACACAAUGAUGUCAAUGUUUCUGCUGGUGGUGACGAUUAACAUGAAUACGUGUAUAUUUGGUUAAGUAACACACCCAUGUGUGGAAUUAAAUAACUUACUGUUCACGUGGCUGAAUUUAGAAGGUUGUUUCAGUUCUCUGGUGGUGCUUUAUUUCCUCCUCUGUUGUCAUGUCAUCUGAUAGAUUCUGAUUCUGAUAGACAUUCUUUUUAAUGUAUUUGCAUUAAUAAAGUUAUUGCUCAGUC